AGACCCGAAACCCGGUGAUCUAGCCAUGGGCAGGUUGAAGGUUGGGUAACACUAACUGGAGGACCGAACCGACUAAUGUUGAAAAAUUAGCGGAUGACCUGUGGCUGGGGGUGAAAGGCCAAUCAAACCGGGAGAUAGCUGGUUCUCCCCGAAAGCUAUUUAGGUAGCGCCUCGUGAAUUCAUCUCCGGGGGUAGAGCACUGUUUCGGCUAGGGGGCCAUCCCGGCUUACCAACCCGAUGCAAACUGCGAAUACCGGAGAAUGUUAUCACGGGAGACACACGGCGGGUGCUAACGUCCGUCGUGAAGAGGGAAACAACCCAGACCGCCAGCUAAGGUCCCAAAGUCAUGGUUAAGUGGGAAACGAUGUGGGAAGGCCCAGACAGCCAGGAUGUUGGCUUAGAAGCAGCCAUCAUUUAAAGAAAGCGUAAUAGCUCACUGGUCGAGUCGGCCUGCGCGGAAGAUGUAACGGGGCUAAACCAUGCACCGAAGCUGCGGCAGCGACGCUGAUGCGUUGUUGGGUAGGGGAGCGUUCUGUAAGCCUGUGAAGGUGUGCUGUGAGGCAUGCUGGAGGUAUCAGAAGUGCGAAUGCUGACAUAAGUAACGAUAAAGCGGGUGAAAAGCCCGCUCGCCGGAAGACCAAGGGUUCCUGUCCAACGUUAAUCGGGGCAGGGUGAGUCGACCCCUAAGGCGAGGCCGAAAGGCGUAGUCGAUGGGAAACAGGUUAAUAUUCCUGUACUUGGUGUUACUGCGAAGGGGGGACGGAGAAGGCUAUGUUGGCCGGGCGACGGUUGUCCCGGUUUAAGCGUGUAGGUGUGUGUUCCAGGUAAAUCCGGUUCACUUUAACACUGAGGCGUGAUGACGAGGCACUACGGUGCUGAAGCAACAAAUGCCCUGCUUCCAGGAAAAGCCUCUAAGCAUCAGGUAACAUCAAAUCGUACCCCAAACCGACACAGGUGGUCAGGUAGAGAAUACCAAGGCGCUUGAGAGAACUCGGGUGAAGGAACUAGGCAAAAUGGUGCCGUAACUUCGGGAGAAGGCACGCUGACACGUAGGUGAAGUGAUUUACUCACGGAGCUGAAGUCAGUCGAAGAUACCAGCUGGCUGCAACUGUUUAUUAAAAACACAGCACUGUGCAAACACGAAAGUGGACGUAUACGGUGUGACGCCUGCCCGGUGCCGGAAGGUUAAUUGAUGGGGUCAGCGCAAGCGAAGCUCCUGAUCGAAGCCCCGGUAAACGGCGGCCGUAACUAUAACGGUCCUAAGGUAGCGAAAUUCCUUGUCGGGUAAGUUCCGACCUGCACGAAUGGCGUAAUGAUGGCCAGGCUGUCUCCACCCGAGACUCAGUGAAAUUGAACUCGCUGUGAAGAUGCAGUGUACCCGCGGCAAGACGGAAAGACCCCGUGAACCUUUACUAUAGCUUGACACUGAACAUUGAGCCUUGAUGUGUAGGAUAGGUGGGAGGCUUUGAAGCGUGGACGCCAGUCUGCGUGGAGCCGACCUUGAAAUACCACCCUUUAAUGUUU
rnacentral:rRNA from 2 species